rnacentral:rRNA from 1 species
CCUACGGGUGGCAGCAGUGAGGAAUAUUGGUCAAUGGACGCAAGUCUGAACCAGCCAUGCCGCGUGCAGGAAGACGGCUCUAUGAGUUGUAAACUGCUUUUGUACGAGGGUAAACGCAGAUACGCGUAUCUGUCUGAAAGUAUCGUACGAAUAAGGAUCGGCUAACUCCGUGCCAGCAGCCGCGGUAAUACGGAGGAUUCAAGCGUUAUCCGGAUUUAUUGGGUUUAAAGGGUGCGUAGGCGGUCGGAUAAGUUAGGGGUGAAAGCCCGAGGCUCAACUUCGGAAUUGCCUGUGAUACUGUUCGGCUAGAGUGUAGUUGCGGUAGGCGGAAUGUAUGGUGUAGCGGUGAAAUGCUUAGAGAUCAUACAGAACACCGAUUGCGAAGGCAGCUUACCAAGCUACUUCUGACGUUGAGGCACGAAAGCGUGGGGAGCAAACAGGAUUAGAUACCCUGGUAGUC